rnacentral:rRNA from 1 species
CGACCGGUAAGAAGAACUAAACAAGGAUUCCCCUAGUAACGGCGAGUGAAGCGGGAAGAGCUCAAAUUUGAAAUCUGGUAGCCUUCGGUUGCCCGAGUUGUAAUCUAGAGAAGUGUUUUCCGCGUUGGCCCAUGUACAAGUCCCUUGGAACAGGGCGUCAUAGAGGGUGAGAAUCCCGUCCUUGACAUGGACCCCCAAUGCUUUGUGAUACACUUUCAACGAGUCGAGUUGUUUGGGAAUGCAGCUCAAAAUGGGUGGUGAAUUCCAUCUAAAGCUAAAUAUUGGCGAGAGACCGAUAGCGAACAAGUACCGUGAGGGAAAGAUGAAAAGCACUUUGGAAAGAGAGUUAAACAGUACGUGAAAUUGUUGAAAGGGAAACGAUUGAAGUCAGUCAUGCUCUUUGGAUUAAGCCGUUCUGCGGUGUAUUUCAUUGAGCGGGGUCAACAUCAGUUUUGAUCGCUGGAAAAGGGCAGGAGGAAGGUAGCACUCUCGGGUGAACUUAUAGCCUCUUGUCGUAUACAGUGAUUGGGACUGAGGAACGCAGCAUGCCUUUUGGCCGGGAUUCGUCCACGUACAUGCUUAGGAUGUUGACAUAAUGGCUUUAAACGACCCGUCUUGAAACACGGACCAAGGAGUCUAACAUAUCUGCGAGUAUUUGGGUGUCAAACCCGAGUGCGCAAUGAAAGUGAACGUAGGAGCGAUCCGCAAGGUGCAGCUUCGACCGAUCUGGAUCUUUAGUGAUGGAUUUGAGUAAGAGCAUAUAUGUUGGGGACCCGAAAAGAUGGUGAACUAUGCCUGAAAUAGGGCGAAACCCAGAGGAAAACUCUGGUGGAAGGCUCGUAGCGAUUCUGAACGUGCAAAUUCGAUCGUCAAAUUUGGGUAUAGGGGGCGAAAAGACUAAUCGAACCAUCUAGUAGCCUG